rnacentral:ncRNA from 1 species
AGGAAAAGUUUUAAAACAGCUCAUAUAUACCCAUAAUAUGGAUGGGAGUUUCUACCGGAAGCCGUAAAUUUCUGACUAUGAGCGAAAGUUAUUUGCAU